UCUAGGGCUGGGGUAGCGGGUACCGCUGGCGGAAGCUGAGGGGCUGGAGGAGGGGCCGCCGGCGCGGGAAGGUGCUGCUGGGGAAGGAGUCGAAGCGGCUGAGGGGGUGGGGGCGGCGCCGGCUGCGGGUGCAGAGGCCGCUGCGGAAGGGCCGGAGGGGGCUGGGGAUGCGGAAGGCGGUGCUGAGGCGGCGGCGCGUGGGGAAGCCGUACGGGCUGAGGUUGCCGUUGCCGGUGCGGUACGUGGUGCUGCGGCUGCUGCUGCCGGAGAAGUGGCUGGGGCCGGGGCAGGAGGGGCUGGGGCGGGUCUACCCCCGGCUGCUCCCGAAGGAGGAGGCGCUCACCGCGGCCAUGGAGGGAGAGGAACGAGGAGAGCGGAUCUAGACUAGCUAGACCGGGCCGAGCCAGCAACCAGGACGAUCUAGAUGGGCGCGCUAGCACGGCCCGACCCAACCAGGCCCCGCAUCUAGACAGCGCGACCUGGCGCUAGACCGGACGGCGAACGGUAAUAGACCCCGCGGCUCGACGACACACGCGCUCUAAGGUAGCUACACCACGGCUAUACUACUACACUAGGUCACGGAGGUCGAAGUCAUCUGAUCCUAAAAUCGACUUAAUCUCGUUGACUGAAUGUUUAGUCAGUGACAUGCGCACGAAUCAACGAAUAUUCACUAGCUUCGUUGUUAAAACGUGGUACUUAUCAACAAUUACUCUAUUUUUACCAAGUCGAACGACGUUGAACAGUACCGAUCGAUUCGAACACUGUGCGAUUCAUUCAUCCAUUAAAUUUAAACCCUAAAUCAUCAGCCACCACAGUCUAGUUGUUUGGCGUCGGCCUUAGUGUACUAUUUUAGGGUUAAAAAUGACGGACCCUGAGAGGCCCACAUUGACAUCGCAAUCGAAAACGGUUGUCCUUUUACUUUAACGGUAUACAACUACACUAGGUGCCAGAAACGACGAAGUCAUGAUGUGAUCCUAAAUUCGACUUAAUCUUAUUUACUAACGAACCUCAAGUCACACACACGACAUACUACCACACUGGGUCACGAAAUCGUCGAAGUCAUGUGAUCCUAAAAUCGACUUGUUUUCGAUUACUAGCGAACCUUAAAACGGUACUAGAUGACAUAUACGUCGAAAACGUCAUCUUUAAAUUGACGUAUCCCCGCUAACGGCAUGUUUAACCAGUGGCUUCAGCACAAAAGCGUCAUCCAUAUAUAAACAGACUGACGGUGUCGAAAAAAGUAGUACUGGACAAUUAUACUAUUUUCACUAAGUAGAACGACCUUGUGAAAGAGUCCGAUCGACUAGAACACCGUGUAAUCCACGUGUUAAAAUAAAUUUAUUUGGACCCUAAAACAUCAACUCCUAUAGUUUAGUUCUUCCAGGUUAGCCUAAACGCACUACUUUGACAUUCAAACUUAUAGAUCCUGAGAGACCUACAUCGACGGAGAAGUCAAAAAAUAGAUAUCACUUAAAUUUUACUUUAACUGAAGGGAACAAGAAUAAAGAUCUCGUAUCACCGUUUAUCUAUGUCAGAGUACAAGAACGCGUAUUCAGACAUAAAGACAUACUAAAUUCAAAUAAAAAACAAACGGUUUUACCCGAUGAACGACUCUAUUUAGAUGUGUACUGAAGGUCAAUAGGUUAUAUUUAUAGCUGUAUAUACAUCCACGAGUUUCACAACACAGGUUUUACUCUCGAAAGGCUUUAGAUUUACUCCCAAGAACUAAUACAAUUACAAUGAAGGGGUAUAUCCUUCACAAACGGAGAAAACCGCAAAGACGAUACAAAGGAGGUCACGUGAUAAACAGAUAAAUUUGGGGACGUGGUUUCUUACGUCAAACGACAUCGGUGAUGCUUUAUUUGAAAGUCUAUUUCUAUAUUGUAUACUGAGGUCUAGACUGAAGGCCCGUUCUCUUACAGAAAUAUAUUUAACGACAUCCGGGACAAGAUAUAGUAGUUGAUGUUGCGAUCACCACGUAAUUUGUAGAACUUGUCUCCGAUAUAGACAGAGCUGUUAUUUAUGACGAUAAAACAUGACGAACUAAGGUAGACAUAACACGUUUCAUUUACGAUUGCGGUCGAGACUUGUCAGUUUUACGUGAGGAAGACCUCCUUUUCCUCUUCGUGCUCUUCCUCGACUCCUCGGUUUAGUAGGAACUUCGACUUCUCAAGUUCUUCCCAAAGCAGCUCUUCGCGUUCGACUUGGAACUCUGUUCGUUCCUAGUGUUGGCCCUUUCCCUCUUCGAAAAGGACAGGUUGGUCCUCUUCAAGGUGUUCCCGCGUCUGUUCGUCAUGACCUUCCGCUAUAGGCUCGAGUAGGGUGUCCUCUAACGCGUGUAGCUCUUCUCCUGCCCGUUCUUCCUGUUCCUGUUCUUCGGACCCUAGUAGCAACAGGUCCCGGGGUUCGGGCCCUUCCGGUGGCUGUACCGCGCCUACGCGGUCUAGGAGAGUUUCGACUUCGUGUGUGGCGGCGGUGUGUACUUCGGUGGAGGUGGUGGACGACGUCGUGGGCGACCCUUCCUACCUUGAGGCCGGCGGCGACCUUUCCUGCCUCGAUUCCGCCAUCGCUGUGGACGACGGUUCCUACGGGGACGGUUGCCGUGACAGGGACUCUUCCUCUUACGGCGUGGGCGGCGGCGACGGGGGCGUCGUCGUCGGGGACGUGGUGGUCGACUCGGGUAGCGACGACGGACUUGCUUCCACUGGAGCAAGUCGGCGAUUAGGAAACGUCAUCCCAAUAUAAACCCACAGCCAUCUCAACAAGGUCCUCUCUACCCCUUCCUCGCACUUCCGGUGUAUGCUACGCUCCACCACUCUAGCAGAAACUCAAGUGGUGCCCCUUAGUACCGCCUCUAUGUGCGUCACAUGAUAAUAAUUAAACUCAAACAAUAAUACUCGUCCUCCCAACAAUGAAUACCCUGGUCGUUUGAAAUAAGCAAUUAUAACAGUAACGUAAAACAUCUCUCUUUCUCCCCUGACCAUUCUUAUUCCAUUCCGACGACGACAUACACAAACAUAUAAAUAGUAGUUCACAACCUAAAAACCAGUCUGGACACUAACUACAACGUAUAUAAUAUAGUAAACCAAAAAGUAGAGUUCAAGUCACGACAGAACACAAAUACGUGACACUACUACAUCAACCGUAACGACAUCGAACUUACGAGAAUAACAACGUAGGAAAAAAGCCACUUUUAAUAACAUGUUGUAUGAAAUUGAGGAAGUUAAGGACAAAAACAAUACUUUAAACGGACAAAUUUAAACGUGGCUACCUUUACGUUGUCAAAGUGUAUUUAACUAAAGAAAAAUACGUUCAGUGGGUUUUAAGUAUAUCGGUGGUUUAAUAGAAAAACCACAUUGAGGUAAAACCCAUAAACCUAGAUGUAGCAUACCGACACGUGAGUUGGAAGUCGACUUCUAGUUUG
rnacentral:rRNA from 1 species